CAAUUGUUGCUCAAGGCAGAAAUACCUGUAGUCACCUUGAACCAGUCAUCAGACUGCAGRCUCUGAUUGUGAAUUUCCACAUAAAUACUUGAGUUAAGUGUUGGGCUCCUAGUUAAACCACAAUCCUCACAGUGUGAGGUUUCGUUAGCUGUGAUAUUUGUGCAUAAAGAGAAAUACACCCCUGGAUCUUUGCCAGAGGUAUAGGCAAAGAGAAUGAAAUGAAAGCACUGCUGACUGGCAUAUGUGAACAACAGAGGUGGUGUGGGUGGUAAUGGGUUUCCUGUGGUGUUGAAGGUCAAAAUCAGGUGUGUUUGUGUUUUAGAUAGAGUCAGAGUUUCAUACCAUCGCUGAGCCUCCGGGGCGGUCAUGGAAUCCUUGGGAUCCCAGUCUGUGCCGGUGUAAGUGAAAGCAGAACCCCAAGAGUUGGACCCUUUUGUAGUUGACAUGUACCACUCAUUUUUAGCAUAGAAUGCAGCAGACUCAUCAUCUCUAGUCCUGACAGAAGCAAAAGGGAUCAUGACAGUGGAUGUUAUCACUGGGUUGUUAUAACAGAUGUGCAGGGCAUUGACCUUCCUGUUAACAUGAACAGUGUUACAGGGAUUGUAUGUCCUGAAUGUCUGUCGCUUAAUCCUGCCCAGAUUGUGAUUGUCAACAGAAACGGAGGAACCAGUCACUUCAAUCUUGGUUCUUAAUUGUGCUGAAGUAGCAAUACCGUUAGAAGGGUGUAAGUACCAUGUCGAUGCUCUGCAACAAUCUGUCCCAGUGGUCAGUUCAGUACACGUUGAGCAAGCAAUGAGCAACGUAACCUCUGAUCCGAGGGUAGACAAUCUUCACCAGAAUUGAGAUGACCACCCCUUUCAGAUGAUCCCCUUUGUACCUUCUGGACUUCUCCUGCUGACCACAGAGCUGCAAUCAUCACCCAAUUACUGUUUUUUCAAUGAAAUGAUCUUUUUAACAUGUGAUAAAUGCACCCAAGUAUUUCUUUCAGCAAU